rnacentral:rRNA from 1 species
UACAGGGGGGGCAAGCGUUGUUCGGAAUUACUGGGCGUAAAGGGCCAGUAGGCGGCCAACUAAGUCCGACGUGAAAUCCCUCGGCUUAACCGGGGAACUGCAUCUGAUACUGGAUGGCUUGAGUUCGGGAGAGGGAUGCGGAAUUCCAGGUGUAGCGGUGAAAUGCGUAGAUAUCUGGAGGAACACCGGUGGCGAAGGCGGCAUCCUGGACCGAUACUGACGCUGAGGAGCGAAAGCCAGGGGAGCAAACGGG